UUAACUUAAGUUGUUUACGAAAAACAUUUUAAUAAUAUCAAUUAAAAUGUUUUCGAAACUUAUGAAAAACUCAGGCAUGUAGGCAAGGUACAUGGCAUAAAUACGUGAUUUAUACAUGAUCAGGCAACCCAUUAUAGGCAAGGUACAUGGCAUAAAUACGUGAUUUAUACAUGAUCAGGAAACCCAUUAUAGGCAAAGUACAUGGCAUAAAUACGGGAUUUAUACAUGAUCAGGCAACCCAUUAUAGGCAAGGUACAUGGCAUAAAUACGUGAUUUAUACAUGAUCAGGCAACCCAUUAUAGGCAAGGUACAUGGCAUAAAUACGUGAUUUAUACAUGAUCAGGCAACCCAUUAUAGGUAAAGUACAUGGCAUAAAUACGUGAUUUAUACAUGAUCAGGCAACCCAUUAUAGGCAAAGUACAUGGCAUAAAUACGGGAUUUAUACAUGAUCAGACAACCCAUUAUAGGCAAGGUACAUGGCAUAAAUACGUGAUUUAUACAUGAUCAGGCAACCCAUUAUAGGCAAGGUACAUGGCAUAAAUACGUGAUUUAUACAUGAUCAGGCAACCCAUUAUAGGCAAAGUACAUGGCAUAAAUACGGGAUUUAUACAUGAUCAGGCAACCCAUUAUAGGCAAGGUACAUG